rnacentral:rRNA from 1 species
AACGUAGGAGACAAACGUUAUCCGGAGUUACUGGGCGUAAAGGGCGUGUAGGUGGUUAUGUAAGUCUGGCGUGAAAUUUUUCGGCUUAACCGGGAAAGGUCGUCGGAUACUGCACAACUAGAGGACGGUAGAGGCGUGUGGAAUUCCGGGUGUAGUGGUGAAAUGCGUAGAGAUCGUAAGGAAGACCAGUGGCGAAGGCGGGUCUCUGGACAGUUCCUGACACUGAGGCACGAAGGCCAGGGGAGCAAACGGG